rnacentral:rRNA from 1 species
UUAAGCGACUAAGCGUACACGGUGGAUGCCCUGGCAGUCAGAGGCGAUGAAGGACGUGCUAAUCUGCGAUAAGCGUCGGUAAGGUGAUAUGAACCGUUAUAACCGGCGAUUUCCGAAUGGGGAAACCCAGUGUGUUUCGACACACUAUCAUUAACUGAAUCCAUAGGUUAAUGAGGCGAACCGGGGGAACUGAAACAUCUAAGUACCCCGAGGAAAAGAAAUCAACCGAGAUUCCCCCAGUAGCGGCGAGCGAACGGGGAGGAGCCCAGAGCCUGAAUCAGUGUGUGUGUUAGUGGAAGCGUCUGGAAAGGCGCGCGAUACAGGGUGACAGCCCCGUACACAAAAAUGCACAUGCUGUGAGCUCGAUGAGUAGGGCGGGACACGUGGUAUCCUGUCUGAAUAUGGGGGGACCAUCCUCCAAGGCUAAAUACUCCUGACUGACCGAUAGUGAACCAGUACCGUGAGGGAAAGGCGAAAAGAACCCCGGCGAGGGGAGUGAAAAAGAACCUGAAACCGUGUACGUACAAGCAGUGGGAGCACGCUUAGGCGUGUGACUGCGUACCUUUUGUAUAAUGGGUCAGCGACUUAUAUUCUGUAGCAAGGUUAACCGAAUAGGGGAGCCGAAGGGAAACCGAGUCUUAACUGGGCGUUAAGUUGCAGGGUAUAGACCCGAAACCCGGUGAUCUAGCCAUGGGCAGGUUGAAGGUUGGGUAACACUAACUGGAGGACCGAACCGACUAAUGUUGAAAAAUUAGCGGAUGACUUGUGGCUGGGGGUGAAAGGCCAAUCAAACCGGGAGAUAGCUGGUUCUCCCCGAAAGCUAUUUAGGUAGCGCCUCGUGAAUUCAUCUCCGGGGGUAGAGCACUGUUUCGGCAAGGGGGUCAUCCCGACUUACCAACCCGAUGCAAACUGCGAAUACCGGAGAAUGUUAUCACGGGAGACACACGGCGGGUGCUAACGUCCGUCGUGAAGAGGGAAACAACCCAGACCGCCAGCUAAGGUCCCAAAGUCAUGGUUAAGUGGGAAACGAUGUGGGAAGGCCCAGACAGCCAGGAUGUUGGCUUAGAAGCAGCCAUCAUUUAAAGAAAGCGUAAUAGCUCACUGGUCGAGUCGGCCUGCGCGGAAGAUGUAACGGGGCUAAACCAUGCACCGAAGCUGCGGCAGCGACGCUGAUGCGUUGUUGGGUAGGGGAGCGUUCUGUAAGCCUGCGAAGGUGUGCUGUGAGGCAUGCUGGAGGUAUCAGAAGUGCGAAUGCUGACAUAAGUAACGAUAAAGCGGGUGAAAAGCCCGCUCGCCGGAAGACCAAGGGUUCCUGUCCAACGUUAAUCGGGGCAGGGUGAGUCGACCCCUAAGGCGAGGCCGAAAGGCGUAGUCGAUGGGAAACAGGUUAAUAUUCCUGUACUUGGUGUUACUGCGAAGGGGGACGGAGAAGGCUAUGUUGGCCGGGCGACGGUUGUCCCGGUUUAAGCGUGUAGGCUGGUUUUCCAGGCAAAUCCGGAAAAUCAAGGCUGAGGCGUGAUGACGAGGCACUACGGUGCUGAAGCAACAAAUGCCCUGCUUCCAGGAAAAGCCUCUAAGCAUCAGGUAACAUCAAAUCGUACCCCAAACCGACACAGGUGGUCAGGUAGAGAAUACCAAGGCGCUUGAGAGAACUCGGGUGAAGGAACUAGGCAAAAUGGUGCCGUAACUUCGGGAGAAGGCACGCUGAUAUGUAGGUGAAGUCCCUCGCGGAUGGAGCUGAAAUCAGUCGAAGAUACCAGCUGGCUGCAACUGUUUAUUAAAAACACAGCACUGUGCAAACACGAAAGUGGACGUAUACGGUGUGACGCCUGCCCGGUGCCGGAAGGUUAAUUGAUGGGGUCAGCGCAAGCGAAGCUCUUGAUCGAAGCCCCGGUAAACGGCGGCCGUAACUAUAACGGUCCUAAGGUAGCGAAAUUCCUUGUCGGGUAAGUUCCGACCUGCACGAAUGGCGUAAUGAUGGCCAGGCUGUCUCCACCCGAGACUCAGUGAAAUUGAACUCGCUGUGAAGAUGCAGUGUACCCGCGGCAAGACGGAAAGACCCCGUGAACCUUUACUAUAGCUUGACACUGAACAUUGAGCCUUGAUGUGUAGGAUAGGUGGGAGGCUUUGAAGUGUGGACGCCAGUCUGCAUGGAGCCGACCUUGAAAUACCACCCUUUAAUGUUUGAUGUUCUAACGUUGACCCGUAAUCCGGGUUGCGGACAGUGUCUGGUGGGUAGUUUGACUGGGGCGGUCUCCUCCUAAAGAGUAACGGAGGAGCACGAAGGUUGGCUAAUCCUGGUCGGACAUCAGGAGGUUAGUGCAAUGGCAUAAGCCAGCUUGACUGCGAGCGUGACGGCGCGAGCAGGUGCGAAAGCAGGUCAUAGUGAUCCGGUGGUUCUGAAUGGAAGGGCCAUCGCUCAACGGAUAAAAGGUACUCCGGGGAUAACAGGCUGAUACCGCCCAAGAGUUCAUAUCGACGGCGGUGUUUGGCACCUCGAUGUCGGCUCAUCACAUCCUGGGGCUGAAGUAGGUCCCAAGGGUAUGGCUGUUCGCCAUUUAAAGUGGUACGCGAGCUGGGUUUAGAACGUCGUGAGACAGUUCGGUCCCUAUCUGCCGUGGGCGCUGGAGAACUGAGGGGGGCUGCUCCUAGUACGAGAGGACCGGAGUGGACGCAUCACUGGUGUUCGGGUUGUCAUGCCAAUGGCACUGCCCGGUAGCUAAAUGCGGAAGAGAUAAGUGCUGAAAGCAUCUAAGCACGAAACUUGCCCCGAGAUGAGUUCUCCCUGACUCCUUGAGAGUCCUGAAGGAACGUUGAAGACGACGACGUUGAUAGGCCGGAUGUGUAAGCGCAGCGAUGCGUUGAGCUAACCGGUACUAAUGAACCGUGAGGCUUAACCUU